UCUCCUACGGGAGGCUGCAGUGGGGAAUAUUGGACAAUGGGCGAAAGCCUGAUCCAGCGACGCCGCGUGGGUGAAGAAGGCCUGCGGGUUGUAAAGCCCUUUCGGUGGGGAAGAAAAGCCUCGACCUAAUACGUCGGGGUCUUGACGUAACCCAAGAAAGAAGCACCGGCUAACCCUGUGCCAGCAGCCGCGGUAAUACAGAGGGUGCGAGCGUUAAUCGGAAUUACUGGGCGUAAAGCGCGCGUAGGCGGCUUUGCAAGUCGGGUGUGAAAUCCCCAGGCUUAACCUGGGAACUGCACUCGAGACUGGAUUGCUAGAGUAUGGGAGAGGGAAGUGGAAUUUCCGGUGUAGCGGUGAAAUGCGUAGAUAUCGGAAGGAACAUCAGUGGCGAAAGCGACUUCCUGGACCAAUACUGACGCUCAUGUGCGAAAGCGUGGGGAGCAAACAGGAUUAGAUACCCUUGUAGUCC
rnacentral:rRNA from 1 species